GUAGGGAAUUUUGCACAAUGGGCGCAAGCCUGAUGCAGCAACGCCGCGUGAGUGAAGAAGGCUCUUGGGUUGUAAAGCUCUUUCGGCUGGGAAGAAGGGAUUGGCCGCGAACAGUUGCCAAUUCUGACGGUACCAGAAGAAGAAGCACCUGCUAACUACGUGCCAGCAGCAGCGGUAAUACGUAGGGUGCAAGCGUUGUUCGGAAUUACUGGGCGUAAAGGGCGCGUAGGCGGGCCCGUGUGUCGAUUGUGAAAGCCCCGAGCUUAACUUGGGAAUUGCAGUCGAAACUGCGGGUCUUGAAUGCCUGAGGGGAUGGCGGAAUUCCCGGUGUAGAAGUGAAAUUCGUAGAUAUCGGGAAGAACACCUGAGGCGAAGGCGGCUAUCUGGCGGUGCAUUGACGCUGAGGCGCGAAAGCGUGGGGAGCAAACAGGAUUAGAUACCCGAGUAGUCC
rnacentral:rRNA from 1 species